GUACUCCUGCCUCCUUGUGUGCGUUAACAGGUAAAAUCUUUCAAUUUCUCAACAGAUGAUGGUGACAUUAUUGUUCUUUUAUCAAAUCAUGGCAUUAUAAGCGAUACAGGCACGUAUGGAUUUGAAUCUGAGCCGGUCAGUGACAAAUGUAACGAAUGGGACUGGGAGGACAAUAGACAUGACCAAUGUAAAAAGAAAUGUUGUAAGGAUACUACAAAGGAUGUGACUCAAAAAUGUACAGGUACACAAUGUCAAUUUGCUGUGAGUAAUCCAGUUUUCACUGACCACCAAGACAGAACUCCUAGAUAUCUGGAUGUGUCUUAUUCCUGUGGACCAGAUCCAACCCAGAAGCCAUUUGACUGUGGAGAAAAUGGCUGUAGAGUAUUUUCAAUCUGUCAAUUUGAAAAGCAAGAGUUCGGCUGUAGAUCUGGAAGAAUGACGGUUAAAUAUGCUUCCUACGGAAGGAGAAGUUCGGAGAUUUGCCCUCAUUCUAAUUCAAGUCUCACAUCUUCUCUGUGCUUCUCAGACCAGACCAGCAUCGUGAAACUUUUGUGUGAUGACAAACCUACAUGCAAACUAUAUGUUUCAAGUUUAGUUUACGUGGAUCUGUGCCCUCACCUCUACAAAUAUUUGACUGUGAUAUACACAUGCAGGGACUCAAGAUGAAGAUGAGCGUCUUCAUCUGACAAAUUUACAUGAUGGAGACAAUGUGCAGUGUACCUUCACAGGAAUAAAGUUGAUUAAAGUUUGACAAAUGACAAUCAUUGAUGUCAAACUUAUCUUUCAAUGCAAUUGUACGGUUUGUACCAUUGUUAAAAGGUUAUUGUCUAAUACUUUUGUGUUCAUAACAAUGGUGUUUAAAAUGUUCAAAAUUUCUAAUUGGGCAAUAAAUCAUUAGAUUACUGAAUGCUAGUAAAACAAUAUGAAACCCUAUAGGCUAUUUGAUCUGCUGGAGCUGGUAAUAUAAUAUCAUGUUAAUUGAAAAUGUUUUUGGUUCACAUUUUUGGUAUUUCUAUCCUUUCUUUUGGUAUUUCCAUUGGUGUAUAUGUUCCGUCUGGGAUGAACAACUUUUUGUUGAAUAAACUACUUUCCAAUGCAAACUCUGUAUCUUUUGUUUGUUUAUCUAAACUGUUUUGCAUGUAGGACAACAUUUCUAAUUCAGCACUACACAAUCCUGAAUGACCAAAAUCCUUUCUGCUUGAUGUCAGAAGCCAUGUUGCAGAUUUACCUUUUCAUACUGAUCCAUAAUGUGUAUAUAAAUUAAAAAAAAAAGACUUUACAUGUAUUUUUCCCUUACAAUUAUGCUUUCAAUUUUUGGGUCAUAAAGACCCCAAGGGCCAGUAGUGUAAACAGAAAACGAGGACCAUUUA